AUCUACAGCCAUACCACCCAUAACAUGCCCAUCUUGUCUGAUCUUAGAAACUAAGCAGGGUUGGGCCUUGUUAGUACUUGGAUGGGAGAAAUACAAGGCAAUGAGAUA
ensembl:rRNA 5S_rRNA 5S ribosomal RNA